rnacentral:hammerhead_ribozyme from 1 species
AUCCUGCUGACGAAUCCUAAACAGGACUAAACGCACCUUGUCCUGGAU